rnacentral:rRNA from 1 species
GACGAACGCCGGCGGCGUGCUUAACACAUGCAAGUCGAACGGAAAGGCCCUGCUUUUGUGGGGUGCUCGAGUGGCGAACGGGUGAGUAACACGUGAGAAACCUGCCCUUGACUUUGGGAUAACUUCAAGAAACUGGGGCUAAUAACGGAUAGGAGCUCCUGCUGCAAGGUGGGGGUUGGAAAGUUUCGUCGUUUGGGGAUGGACUCGCGGCUCAUCAGCUUGUUUGUGAGGUAGUGGCUUACCAAGGCUUUGACUGGUAGCCGGCCUGGGAGGGUGACCGGCGAGAUUGGGACUGAGAGACUGCCCAGACGACUACGAAAGGCAGCAGUGGAAGAUAUUGCACAAUGGGCGGAAGCCUGAUGCAGUAACGCCGCGUGCGGGAUGAAGGCCUUCGGGUUGUAAACCGCUUUCGCCUGUGACGAAGCGUGAGUGACGGUAAUGGGUAAAGAAGCACCGGCUAACUACGUG